UCUGGUAUGCGCUGGUUUCGCUGAUUCCUCCUUUCUGAAGAACUGUAAUGUCAUUAAUUUGGUGUUGCAGGGAAACAGGACUGUUACUUUGAAAAAAUUAGAGUGUUUAAAGCAAGCUAACGCUUGAAUACAUUAGCAUGGAAUAAUGAAAUAGGACGUUUGAUCCUAUUUUGUUGGUUUCUAGGAUUGACGUAAUGAUUAAUAGGGAUAGUUGGGGGCAUUAGUAUUCAAUUGUCAGAGGUGAAAUUCUUGGAUUUAUUGAAGACUAACUACUGCGAAAGCAUUGCCAAGGAUGUUUUCAUUAAUCAAGAACGAAAGUUAGGGGAUCGAAGACGAUCAGAUACCGUCGUAGUCUUAACCAUAAACUAUGCCGACUAGGGAUCGGAUGAUGUUAAUUUUUUAAUGACUCA
rnacentral:rRNA from 1 species